GGGUCAGUACAUUCAUUAACCACCACGAGGCAUCCCUAUGUCUAGUCCACAUCAGGAUAGCCUCUUACCGCGCUUUGCGCAAGGAGAAGAAGGCCAUG
rnacentral:antisense_RNA from 1 species